rnacentral:rRNA from 1 species
UACAGAGGGUGCAAGCGUUGUUCGGAAUUAUUGGGCGGAAAGCGCGUGUAGGCGGCUUUGCAAGUCGGGUGUGAAAUCCCUCAGCUCAACUGAGGAAGUGCGCCCGAAACUGCAGAGCUUGAGUACCGGAGAGGAUGGCGGAAUUCCCCAAGUAGAGGUGAAAUUCGUAGAUAUGGGGAGGAACACCGGUGGCGAAGGCGGCCAUCUGGACGGAUACUGACGCUGAGACGCGAAAGCGUGGGGAGCAAACAGG